UACGUAGGAGGCAAGCGUUGUCCGGAAUUACUGGGCGUAAAGCGCGUGUAGGUGGUGGGACAAGUCUGCUGUGAAAGCGCCUGGCUUAACCGGGCGAGGUCGGCGGAAACUGUUCGACUCGAGGACGGUAGAGGGGGUGGAAUUCCCGGUGUAGUGGUGAAAUGCGUAGAGAUCGGGAGGAACACCUGUGGCGAAGGCGGCCCCCUGGCCGGCCCUGACACUGAGACGCGAAGGCGUGGGGAGCGAACGGG
rnacentral:rRNA from 1 species